rnacentral:rRNA from 1 species
GGGUGAGUAAUGCCUAGGAAUCUGCCUGGUAGUGGGGGAUAACGUCCGGAAACGGACGCUAAUACCGCAUACGUCCUACGGGAGAAAGCAGGGGACCUUCGGGCCUUGCGCUAUCAGAUGAGCCUAGGUCGGAUUAGCUAGUUGGUGGGGUAAUGGCUCACCAAGGCGACGAUCCGUAACUGGUCUGAGAGGAUGAUCAGUCACACUGGAACUGAGACACGGUCCAGACUCCUACGGGAGGCAGCAGUGGGGAAUAUUGGACAAUGGGCGAAAGCCUGAUCCAGCCAUGCCGCGUGUGUGAAGAAGGUCUUCGGAUUGUAAAGCACUUUAAGUUGGGAGGAAGGGCAGUAAAUUAAUACUUUGCUGUUUUGACGUUACCGACAGAAUAAGCACCGGCUAACUCUGUGCCAGCAGCCGCGGUAAUACAGAGGGUGCAAGCGUUAAUCGGAAUUACUGGGCGUAAAGCGCGCGUAGGUGGUUCGUUAAGUUGGAUGUGAAAUCCCCGGGCUCAACCUGGGAACUGCAUUCAAAACUGACGAGCUAGAGUAUGGUAGAGGGUGGUGGAAUUUCCUGUGUAGCGGUGAAAUGCGUA